rnacentral:tRNA from 1 species
GAAGACGUUGCCGAGCAUUGUCGCUCCCCCAGCCAAGAGCUGGGGGUCAAGGGGGCGUGGGUUCGAAUCCCGCCGUCCCGAC